rnacentral:rRNA from 1 species
UACAGAGGGUGUAAGCGUUAAUCGGAGUUACUGGGCGUAAAGGGCGCGUAGGCGGUGAGAUGUGUGUGAUGUGAAAGCCCCGGGCUUAACCUGGGAAGUGCAUCGCAAACUAUUUGACUAGAGUAUAUGAGAGGGUGGCGGAAUUUCCGGUGUAGCGGUGAAAUGCGUAGAGAUCGGAAGGAACGUCAAUGGCGAAGGCAGCCACCUGGCAUAAUACUGACGCUGAGGCGCGAAAGCAUGGGGAGCGAACAGG